rnacentral:lncRNA from 1 species
CUCACUCUCCGACCUUGCGAGCCGAGCGACUCAACCCUUCCCACCAUGCUGCGCCAAGCCACACGCCUCCUGGCUCGACCUGCCAUCGCCUCCUCCUCCUCCUUCGCCGCCAGGGCUCGCUCCUUCUCCACCGAUCUCCCCACCGCUCCGGCUGAAGAUUCCACCUUCAUCGAUGCCUGGAAGAAAAUCAUUCCAAAUAUUGACCCACCCGCAACCCCUCUCACUUUCAUGCAACCUCGAC